rnacentral:rRNA from 2 species
CCCCGGUAAACGGCGGCCGUAACUAUAACGGUCCUAAGGUAGCGAAAUUCCUUGUCGGGUAAGUUCCGACCUGCACGAAUGGCGUAAUGAUGGCCAGGCUGUCUCCACCCGAGACUCAGUGAAAUUGAACUCGCUGUGAAGAUGCAGUGUACCCGCGGCAAGACGGAAAGACCCCGUGAACCUUUACUAUAGCUUGACACUGAACAUUGAGCCUUGAUGUGUAGGAUAGGUGGGAGGCUUUGAAGUGUGGACGCCAGUCUGCAUGGAGCCGACCUUGAAAUACCACCCUUUAAUGUUUGAUGUUCUAACGUGGACCCGUAAUCCGGGUUGCGGACAGUGUCUGGUGGGUAGUUUGACUGGGGCGGUCUCCUCCUAAAGAGUAACGGAGGAGCACGAAGGUUGGCUAAUCCUGGUCGGACAUCAGGAGGUUAGUGCAAUGGCAUAAGCCAGCUUGACUGCGAGCGUGACGGCGCGAGCAGGUGCGAAAGCAGGUCAUAGUGAUCCGGUGGUUCUGAAUGGAAGGGCCAUCGCUCAACGGAUAAAAGGUACUCCGGGGAUAACAGGCUGAUACCGCCCAAGAGUUCAUAUCGACGGCGGUGUUUGGCACCUCGAUGUCGGCUCAUCACAUCCUGGGGCUGAAGUAGGUCCCAAGGGUAUGGCUGUUCGCCAUUUAAAGUGGUACGCGAGCUGGGUUUAGAACGUCGUGAGACAGUUCGGUCCCUAUCUGCCGUGGGCGCUGGAGAACUGAGGGGGGCUGCUCCUAGUACGAGAGGACCGGAGUGGACGCAUCACUGGUGUUCGGGUUGUCAUGCCAAUGGCACUGCCCGGUAGCUAAAUGCGGAAGAGAUAAGUGCUGAAAGCAUCUAAGCACGAAACUUGCCCCGAGA